CAAAAAUUACAUAAAAUUUGGAGUCCCGUUUCUGAUUUUCUCGUUUGGUACAAAAUUCCUAACCAUUUUGGGCCUCUGUAUUUUCAUGUCCUUCAUGGGAGGUGGUUUGAAAUGUGCUGAUGUUCAUCCCGUUCCACUCCCUUCUUUCUCAACUCUCAAAGCUGAAGCUUCCCAUCUCAAGAACCAAAGAGCUUCACGCUUUCAUAAUCAAGACUCAUCUCUCACACGACCCAUUUUACGCUACAAGAAUCCUAAGGUUCUAUGCUCUAAACAACGAUAUCAUCUCAGCACGCAAUCUGUUUGAUAAAACUCCCCACCGAAGCAUUUACCUCUGGAACUCCUUAAUUCGAGCUUAUGCUAGAGCCCACAAAUUUCGAAAUGCAUUUUCGCUGUUUAAGGACAUGCUUCACUCUGAAAUUAUGCCUGAUAAUUUCACUUAUGCAUGCCUUGUUCGAGCCAGCUCUGAGAAUUUUGAUUUGCACAGCUUGAGACUUGUACAUGGAGGGGUUGUUCUCUCCGGGUUGCAGUUGGACUUUAUCUGUUGUAGUCAACUUGUUAGUGCUUAUUCAAGAUUAGGCUGUAUAGCUGAUGCGAGCAAGGUGUUUUCUGGGAUAACUGAGCCGGAUUUGGUUCUAUGGAAUUCAAUGAUAUCAGGUUAUGGGUGUCUUGGAGAGUUGGAGGGGAUAGAAUUGUUCAAUAGAAUGCAGAAAAAUGGGGUGAAGCCUGAUGAGUACUCAAUGGUAGGCCUGAUUAUGACUAUAGAUGAUUCUAGUGUGAUGAAAAUAGGUGAAGCAAUCCAUGGAUUUUGUUUAAAACUUGGUCUAGAGUCAAACGAUCAUGUAAGCAGUCUUCUUGUUAGUAUGUAUUCUAGGUGUAAAUGUAUGGAUUCAGCAUUAAGCGUCUUUGGUAGACUUGUAGAACCUGAUUUAGUUACAUGGUCUGCUUUAAUAAGCGGUGUUUCGCUGUGUGGGGAUUGUGUCAAGGCCUUGGAUUUCUUCAGAGAAAUGAAUAUGAAAGGUGGGAAGGCAGAUGCAUCGCUGAUAGCCACUGUACUGACUGCUUGUUCUCAGUUGGCAAAUGUGCAACCAGGCAGUGAGAUACAUGGUUAUUCUUUUCGACAUGGAUAUCACUCGCAGAUAUUCGAGAAGGCACUGGAGGAAGGGCAAAAACCAGAUGAAGCUACUUUUUCUGCACUCCUUUGUGCAUGUUGCCAUGCUGGUCUUGUCAAUGAUGGUCGAGAAUAUUUCAGAAGAAUGAAAGAUCAAUUUGGAAUCUCAGCUAACACCGAACAUUAUAUUUACAUGGUAAAGCUUCUUGGAAUGGAAGGACAAUUAAGAGAAGCUUAUGAACUUGUCCAGUCUCUGCAAGAACCAAUUGACUCUGGCAUUUGGGGGGCACUAUUGUCAUGCUGUGAUGCUCACAGAAAUUAUGAGUUGGCAGAUAUUAUAGCUUGUCGUCUUUUUGGUAAUAAGCUAGAGAAUAGUAGUUACAGAAUUAUGCUUUCAAAUAUGUAUGCUCGCGAUGGGAGGUGGGAUUUGGUAAAUAAGUUGAGAGUAGAUUCUGGAUCAACAAAGUCGAAACUUCCUGGAAAAAGCUGGAUUACUAGUAAAAACCAUUCCUUUGAAAGAAACUCUUGAGGUGUCUCUGCGACAUCUUGCUAGAGUUAACAGUUGUUGAAUCUAGAAUCAGAAGUUGCGAGAGGAGGUCUCUGUCAUUAAUGAAAGCCCAAUAUGCGUGAUUUCAAACUGAUGGCCACUUUGACUGCUCAAGAAUGGUAAUCAUUUCAUCUUGUAAGUUUGAGACAAAUUCGCCGAUCUUUGUAAUUGUAUUCAUGGUCACCGAAAUUUUGUCUGAUGGUAUGAUGCAGCCAUGAAUGUUUAGGUAAAAUAGAGGAAAGCAGAAUUCUUCCUCUCUUUUUUUCUUCAUUUUGAGAGUCAUGGCAACCUCUCUCUUUCUACCUACAUUCAGAUUUCAGGGACUUAUCCACUCUUCUCAGAGAGAAUGAGAGAGAGAGAGAGAGUGAAAGAGAGAGAUAACUACUAGGGAGUUAUUGCUGUUUGUUGCCUAUUCCGAAAAGUGUGUUUCAUUUUCGUACUUUGUACAUUGGUGGAACUUGUGUUGAAGUGUUUACAAGAUUAUGCAUCUGGGGUCUUUAUGGCUUUGAGACCACUGGCUUGUUUGUUACUCUGUACCCUUUAAUUAGAAAAUUUGUUGAUCCUCCUAAAAAACUAGAGUGUUAAAGCUAGAUCAACAUCUAUUACUUCUCUUGUUUCACCAUUAGUUUAUGAACGUUGUUACCGGAAUCAAUAAUCAUCCGUGACUGACAAUUAAACUUUUCCCACCUUCUCUUCAAUUGUUUGCAAAAAUAUCUAUUCUGUUACUUAAGGUUUUAUCAAGGAUACUUGGAAUUCACAACUUUGUACUUCAUGGUAGGCGAGGGAAAAAUAUAAAAGAAAUCACAAUGCUGUGCUUCUGAUUUAAUAGGUAACCUGUACAGGUUGUUGUAAUGUCUCACUUUAUGUUGUUCAUUUGAAGUGUGGAUAAAAUCUUAGCUGUUGCAUAGUAUGAAGGAAGUUAUCCCUUUGAAUGGAUUUGCUUAGCAUACGUUUGGAAGAAUAAUCAUCUUGCUAAUACCGCUGCAUGUGUAACACGCCAUGAGAAGACUCUAUUAAUAACAUCUUAAGAAUUGCUGAGGCUUCAUACUUCGAACAAGUAUGUGCGCUGUUGAUAUUGACAUCUUUUAGACCAUUAACAUAAGUCAGUGAAAAAUGUCUCUAACAUGGGGCAAGGAGUAUAUUGUCUGCAGGCUCAAUUCUCUUCGGUGCAGGCAUCAUGUGUUUCAUAGUCCCCAAUCAGAGGUAGUAGAGUUGCGUUUGCUAGCUUCAAAGGCUCUGAAGGACAGACAAAGUUUUCUUUGUAAAUGUGAUAUGAUAAAUUGUGAUAUCAGCUGAAAUUUUUACUUGGCCAAACACUAUAGAAGGCAUUUAAUAAGGAGAGAUAUUUAACUUAAAGAGCCAGAAAGUGGAAUAAGUAGGAGUUGAAAUGCCAGAAGUCAUAAUCAGGACUGGUUCUCGCCAUCAGUGCAUUUAGUGUAUGAACAAGACCAUUUUCCUAAUCAAUUAUAUUCUAAUCACUGCAUCUUGAUUCCUAUUAUAUUCUAUCAAUAAUAUCAUUAAACUUUAGCUCAAUCUCAAACAAGUUGAUCCUUCCACAUUUUAUUGCCAUAAAAUUUGAACAAUAUAUGCAUGUGUAAAUAGUUUGUGGGAGUCUUUUGGUGUGUGUAAUUCCAUCCCAUUGUCAAUUGCUAUAUCCUACAUCUUCUGUUGGCAUUGUCUGUCUUUUCCAUGACAGUGUGUUAAAUCUUUGCUAAACUUCAUUUAUGUUAAUUGAACUUUUGAAAUUUUUUAAGAUGCAAUUAUUUGAAAUGCAUUUUUCUUCAAAUUGCUAUACUUGCUAAAGGAGACCAAGUGUGCUUAAUAUAUGAUAUGGGUGUGUAAGCUAUUUGAUAUAGUUUAAGUAUGCUGUAAUUUUUAUUAUAUGACCAGUUGCUCAGUCAGUAUUGGAAUCCUAACCCCUAGAUGCAAUUUUAGUGUUCUUACUGAUUGCUAUCUAAAUGUUGCAUAAGCGAACAUUUGCGUUGGCGUUUUAGAACUCUUCUAAAAUGCACACUUUUAAAUGUAUUAACGGUGCAUAAGCUGAUAGAUAAAAACAGUUUUCUCAUAUACCCUUUUUUCAGUGUCAAUGGCACUUACGAGUAACUUUGCUAGUUGCAUCACUAACAUACUUUUCUUUCAUUUUG